CGGGGACAGCGCGGCGACGGGGACCGCGACGGCGGCGGGCGGGGGCGCAGCCUUUAAGCCACCAAACAUCCACCUGUGUCACCACGCCAGGACACCUCUGGCUGAGCAGCAGCCCGCUGCCACAUGCCUGGCCCUCUCGGGCCUCAAGACCUCUGUGAUUUCCUGGAUAUUACGGAGCAGGGUGCCGGCUGACACGGACACGAGUGAGCGCUCCCUGGGUGCUGCCUGCUUGGCCUUCUCACUGAGCGCUUUUUGUGAGACUGGGCUGAUUUUGUAAACAUUGCUCAGAAACUUCAUAGGGUUUCACUCUUGGUUAACCAAAAAGUGUCAGAGUCUUUGAGCUGUCCGUACCGGUGAAGAGGAACAACUGGCACCACCUGGCAUCCCUCCGAGCAUUUCCUCGGGACUUUGGGAGUCAUUCUAAAUUACUCCAAAAUGCUGCACUUUGGGCAAAAGCAGCCAAGGUUUCCCUCCGGACAGCCCUUCACUUGGUUACUUGGGAGAGCCCGUCGUGUUCCAAUUAUCUCUGUCAAGCCCAGGCUGGCAUCUGUGCUGGAAGCCCGGGCACAUCUGGGCAUGGUUGGGGACGAGGAAGAGGUUGAUGUUGACCAUGGUGAUGGCUUGUCCUGCAGAGCUGGGGCCACAGCUGGCUGUGAGUGGCGACCCAGUGCAUGGGGCCCGAGAAGUGAGUGCAGUGAGUGGGGAGCCACACGAGCCCUCCGGGAUGUGACUGACAGAGGGCGUCUCCCUCCGGGCCGGGGCGCUCGGUGGCACUGUGGACUCCAAGCUGAGGCCGGGUGCUUCUUGCAGAGCCACGUGUCAUGAGUGGAAUCGUCUUCAUCCCUUCUUUUCUUUUCUUUCUUUUUGUGUUUGUUUUUCCGAGACAGGGUCUCGCUAUGCAGUUCAGGCUGGCUUUGAGCUCACUGUGGAGUGCAGGCUGGCCUCCAGCUCUCAGUGACCCUCCUGCCUCAGCCUCCCAAGCUGGAUUCCUCUUUGAAGCUAGGCGAGGAAGGAAAUCCAUGUUAAAUGACCAUAGUUGAUGCUUGUAGUGACUGCCACGGUGGGCAGUGCUUUUGCCUGCCCUGAGCCCAGGUGCAGUCUCCCUACUGUGAGUGGCUGCAGGGACCGUACAGGGGCUGCUUGGGGUGCAGGGUGCUGUGCGGGUCAUGGCGCGGGGCUCUCCUGCUCUUCCUCGAGCCUUUUGCUGACCUGAACAUUUUCCGGGCCUACACUGAGGUGAAGCUGCCCCUGCUUCACGACCUCAACUUUGCUGCUGCUUUAUGAUAACGCCUCCGAUGAGUGCCUCUCUGUGGUGUUUUAUGCCGAUUACUUUAAGCCUCAAAGUGAUCACAUAAGAGUGGCUCACCCCACUGUACGGGUGGAGAAACUGAGGAAGGCACAGCAGGGGCCCUUUGGUGGGUGGGUAGGAAUUGGGAUUGAGCCCAGGGCCUUCCCACUGAGCUCCAUCCCCAGCCCUGUUUUACUUUUUUAUUUUGAGUCAGGGUCCUCCUAAGUCACCAGGCCGCCCAGGCUGGGCUCAACCUGUGAUCCCCCUGGCUCAGCCUCCCAGGGUGCUGGGAUGGCAGGUGUGCACCACCACACUGAGCUUUCUGUGGACUUUUUGUACAAAGCUUGUGCUGAUGCGGGGAAGUUUGGGGCCAUUGUCCUCGCCCAAGUGGAGUGAUGGACUGAGUGACAAGUGUUUUAGCCGGGGAGACACAUGUAGGUGUGGGGAGAGUGUGCACCUUGCAGAGUGCGGUGGAAAGGCCCGACUUUCCCCAAAAGGCGACAGAAGUCAGAUUCUGGAGUGAAGGCUGCCUUAGUGUGGGGAUGUGGGAAGCAGGCGAAGUUCAAAGUGCGAAGGUCAAUGGGAG
rnacentral:lncRNA from 1 species